CCAGCCAGAGAUUCCAGAUGCUCAGCAGAAACGUUCUGCCGAGACGAAACGACAAAAACGACGGAUGAGUGGCUAUCGGUGACCACCAAGAACCACUGCUGCCGUUGUAGCUAGCACAUACUCACGCACACUCACCCGAGCAUGCGGUAACACACACACUACGUGAGUCCCGCGACUAUUGCCCCGAAAUUCCCACGAAUCCUCUCGGUACGCACGCAAGCACACGCCUGUACUUAUAGGAUCAUAACUACAAGGAAACGGAGCACGGAGAUACGAAAAUUAGCUGGAAACACGUCGCUGCUACGAACGAACGAACGAACACACGAUAGUGAAAACGAACGCGGUAGCGAAUCGAUCUUCAUCCAAGAAAGGAUGCUCUCCAACUUCAAUGUUUCACGCACGCACGCGACUGGGCUUCUGUUACACACGCACACCGCGCGGAAGCACGCACAACAAUGCGACACUACCUCUGCCACCCACCGCAUGGAUGAUUAGAGAGGCUCGUCACACGAACGCUUAUAAAUAUGUGUGAGAGUGACAGCACCAAUCUCGCACAUCAAUACACUUUGUCACUGCGAAGAAUAAAACCGCCUGAUUGUAUCACUUUUUUACCUUUAUU